rnacentral:rRNA from 1 species
GAUUUCUGGGCUCAAGAGUUUGGCCGGCCACGGUUUCGUGUGUUAGUGCUUUGCUCUGUGUCCAUCCUUCCAAUCGCUAUUGGCUAUUCUUCAUUGAUUGGUCAGUAGUAUUGGAUCUUUUACUUUGAAAAAAUUAGAGUGUUUCAAGCAGGCUUUAUGCUAUGAAUACAUUAGCAUGGAAUAAUAAUUUAGGACUUUGCUCCUAUUUUAUUGGUUUCUAGGGGUAAAGUAAUGAUUGAUAGGGAUAGUUGGGGGUGCUAGUAUUCAUCGGCCAGAGGUGAAAUUCUUGGAUUCGAUGAAGACUAACUUAUGCGAAAGCAUU